CUUCAGCAUCACGAGUGACCGGGAAACCGGUCCGGCAACCGGGGUUGGUCCACGGUGCCAGCUCAAUCGGCAACGGUUGGGGAUGUGGCGGGAAACCGCAACGGGCCCGGUCC
rnacentral:ncRNA from 10 species